UACGUAGGGUGCAAGCAUUAAUCGGAUUUAUUGGGCGUAAAGGGUGCGUAGGCGGUCGUGCAAGUCGGAUGUGAAAUCUCAGGGCUCAACCCUGAAACUGCAUUCGAUACUGCGCGGCUAGAGUGCUGGAGGGGAGACUGGAAUUUACGGUGUAGCAGUGAAAUGCGUAGAUAUCGUAAGGAAGACCAGUGGCGAAGGCGAGUCUCUGGACAGCAACUGACGCUGAGGCACGAAGGCCAGGGGAGCAAACGGG
rnacentral:rRNA from 1 species